AGAGUUUGAUCAUGGCUCAGGACGAACGCUGGCGGCGCGCUUAACACAUGCAAGUCGAGCGAGAACCAGUCCUUCGGGGCUGGGGACAGCGGCGAACGGGUGAGUAACACGUGAGUCAUCCACCCUCGGUACCGGAAUAGCCCGGGGAAACUCGGAUUAAUGCCGGAUGGCCCACCCGCCCCUCGGGGCGGUUGGAAAAGAUAGCUUCGGCCUUCGACCGGGGACGAGCUCGCGGCGGAUUAGCUUGUUGGCGGGGUAAAGGCCCACCAAGGCGACGAUCCGUAGCUGGUCUGAGAGGACGAUCAGCCACACUGGGACUGAGACACGGCCCAGACUCCUACGGGAGGCAGCAGUGGGGAAUCUUGCGCAAUGGGCGAAAGCCUGACGCAGCGACGCCGCGUGAGGGAAGAAGGCCUUCGGGUUGUAAACCUCUUUCAGGAGGGACGAAGCCACUCGGGUUAAUAGCCCAGAGGGUGACGGUACCUCCAGAAGAAGCCCCGGCUAACUACGUGCCAGCAGCCGCGGUAAUACGUAGGGGGCAAGCGUUGUCCGGAUUUAUUGGGCGUAAAGAGCGUGUAGGCGGCCAUACAGGUCUGCUGUGAAAACUCGAGGCUCAACCUCGAGCUGUCGGUGGAAACCGUAUGGCUAGAGUCCGGAAGAGGAGAGUGGAAUUCCCGGCGUAGCGGUGAAAUGCGCAGAUAUCGGGAAGAACACCCGUGGCUAAGGCGGCUCUCUAGUACGGUACUGACGCUGAGACGCGAAAGCGUGGGGAGCGAACAGGAUUAGAUACCCUCGUAGUCC
rnacentral:rRNA from 1 species